AGUCGAACGGUAGCACAGAGAGCUUGCUCUCGGGUGACGAGUGGCGGACGGGUGAGUAAUGUCUGGGAAACUGCCUGAUGGAGGGGGAUAACUACUGGAAACGGUAGCUAAUACCGCAUAACGUCGCAAGACCAAAGAGGGGGACCUUCGGGCCUCUUGCCAUCAGAUGUGCCCAGAUGGGAUUAGCUAGUAGGUGGGGUAACGGCUCACCUAGGCGACGAUCCCUAGCUGGUCUGAGAGGAUGACCAGCCACACUGGAACUGAGACACGGUCCAGACUCCUACGGGAGGCAGCAGUGGGGAAUAUUGCACAAUGGGCGCAAGCCUGAUGCAGCCAUGCCGCGUGUAUGAAGAAGGCCUUCGGGUUGUAAAGUACUUUCAGCGGGGAGGAAGGUGUUGUGGUUAAUAACCACAGCAAUUGACGUUACCCGCAGAAGAAGCACCGGCUAACUCCGUGCCAGCAGCCGCGGUAAUACGGAGGGUGCAAGCGUUAAUCGGAAUUACUGGGCGUAAAGCGCACGCACGCGGUCUGUCAAGUCGGAUGUGAGAUCCCCGGGCUCAACCUGGGAACUGCAUUCGAAAACUGGCAGCUAGAGUCCUGUAGAGGGGGGUAGAAUUCCAGGUGUAGCGGUGAAAUGCGUAGAGAUCUGGAGGAAUACCGGUGGCGAAGGCGGCCCCCUGGACAAAGACUGACGCUCAGUGCGAAAGCGUGGGGAGCAACAGGAUUAGAUACCCUGGUAGUCCACGCCCGUAAACGAUGUCGACUUGAAGUUGUGCCCUUGAGCGUGCUUUCCGGAGCUAACGCCGUUAAGUCGACCGCCUGGG
rnacentral:rRNA from 1 species